rnacentral:rRNA from 1 species
UUUAUGGAGAGUUUGAUCCUGGCUCAGAGUGAACGCUGGCGGCGUGCCUAAUACAUGCAAGUCGAACGAUGAAGCUUCUAGCUUGCUAGAAUGCUGAUUAGUGGCGCACGGGUGAGUAACGCAUAGGUCAUGUGCCUCUUAGUUUGGGAUAGCCAUUGGAAACGAUGAUUAAUACCAGAUACUCCCUACGGGGGAAAGAUUUAUCGCUAAGAGAUCAGCCUAUGUCCUAUCAGCUUGUUGGUAAGGUAAUGGCUUACCAAGGCUAUGACGGGUAUCCGGCCUGAGAGGGUGAACGGACACACUGGAACUGAGACACGGUCCAGACUCCUACGGGAGGCAGCAGUAGGGAAUAUUGCUCAAUGGGGGAAACCCUGAAGCAGCAACGCCGCGUGGAGGAUGAAGGUUUUAGGAUUGUAAACUCCUUUUGUUAGAGAAGAUAAUGACGGUAUCUAACGAAUAAGCACCGGCUAACUCCGUGCCAGCAGCCGCGGUAAUACGGAGGGUGCAAGCGUUACUCGGAAUCACUGGGCGUAAAGAGCGCGUAGGCGGGAUAGUCAGUCAGGUGUGAAAUCCUAUGGCUUAACCAUAGAACUGCAUUUGAAACUACUAUUCUAGAGUGUGGGAGAGGUAGGUGGAAUUCUUGGUGUAGGGGUAAAAUCCGUAGAGAUCAAGAGGAAUACUCAUUGCGAAGGCGACCUGCUGGAACAUUACUGACGCUGAUUGCGCGAAAGCGUGGGGAGCAAACAGGAUUAGAUACCCUGGUAGUCCACGCCCUAAACGAUGGAUGCUAGUUGUUGGAGGGCUUAGUCUCUCCAGUAAUGCAGCUAACGCAUUAAGCAUCCCGCCUGGGGAGUACGGUCGCAAGAUUAAAACUCAAAGGAAUAGACGGGGACCCGCACAAGCGGUGGAGCAUGUGGUUUAAUUCGAGGAUACACGAAGAACCUUACCUAGGCUUGACAUUGAGAGAAUCCGCUAGAAAUAGUGGAGUGUCUGGCUUGCCAGACCUUGAAAACAGGUGCUGCACGGCUGUCGUCAGCUCGUGUCGUGAGAUGUUGGGUUAAGUCCCGCAACGAGCGCAACCCCCUUUCUUAGUUGCUAACAGGUUAUGCUGAGAACUCUAAGGAUACUGCCUCCGUAAGGAGGAGGAAGGUGGGGACGACGUCAAGUCAUCAUGGCCCUUACGCCUAGGGCUACACACGUGCUACAAUGGGGUGCACAAAGAGAAGCAAUACUGCGAAGUGGAGCCAAUCUUCAAAACACCUCUCAGUUCGGAUUGUAGGCUGCAACUCGCCUGCAUGAAGCUGGAAUCGCUAGUAAUCGCAAAUCAGCCAUGUUGCGGUGAAUACGUUCCCGGGUCUUGUACUCACCGCCCGUCACACCAUGGGAGUUGUGUUUGCCUUAAGUCAGGAUGCUAAAUUGGCUACUGCCCACGGCACACACAGCGACUGGGGUGAAGUCGUAACAAGGUAACCGUAGGUGAACCUGCGGUUGGAUCACCUCCUUUCUAGA